UACGGAGGGUGCAAGCAUUAAUCGGAAUUAUUGGGCGUAAAGGGCGCGUAGGCGGGUUUAAAAGUCAGAUGUGAAAUUCCGGAGCUCAAUUUCGGAGCUGCAUUUGAAACUGUAAAUCUAGAGGGAUGGCGGAGAAAACGGAAUUCCACGUGUAGCGGUGAAAUGCGUAGAUAUGUGGAGGAACACCUGUGGCGAAAGCGGUUUUCUAGCUAUGACCUGACGCUGAGGCGCGAGAGCAAGGGGAUCAAAC
rnacentral:rRNA from 1 species